UCUAUCUACCUACCUACCUACCUACCUACCUACCUACCUACCUACCUAUCAUCUAGUUAAUUAGAGGGCAGGACAAGAAGUGGUGGGUGGAAGCUACUCAGAGGGAGAUCCAACGUAGAACGAGGAAUUUCCUGACAGUAAAAACAAUUAACCAAUGGUAUAGUUUGUCUCCCAGAAUUGUGGAUGCUCUAUCACCGGAAGUUUUCAAAAAUAGACUGGACAUGCAUUUGACCAGGAUAGUAUGAGCUCUCCUGCUUGAGCAGGGGGUCAGAUUAGAAGACCUCCAAGGUCACUUUCUCAACCACACCAGCAACAAAAACCAAGAAACCCUACUUGAUGUUGGGCCGACUUGAUUUAAGGGAUGGGAAAUCCACAGAGAACUCUCUGAAAUGUCAUUUGAUGGAUGAGGAGACUUCAACCUUCUCUUUUCUUCUCUUCUCUUGGAAUAUCUGGUCGUGACCAUUUGAGUUGAGCGAUGAUUCUUCCAACCACAGAGGUCACUGACCUUUGUGGGUGUCAUCAGGAUGUUCCUGUUUUGACCAUACCAUGAUUGAAACUCUAACCUCAGGGAAUGCCAGAAACCUGUCGGAAUGAUGGAUUCAAGAUUUGCUUCACUGCCUGGCUGCUGCGCGCAAUACAUGAAACCGGAUGUGGUGACUUCCAAACAAAUCGAAGAAGUUUUCCUCGGGCUGUUCCCAUGAUAAAUUCUUGGCCAACUCUUCCAGCAAGAUAAGCUUUAACUUGUAUAACUGUCUGGUUCGGUUCUGCAACCCAACAAGAAAAACACAGACUUCAGAGGAUCAUUAGAACUGCAGAAAAAAUAAUUGCUACCAACCUGCCUUCCAUUGAGGACCUGUAUACUGCACGAAUCAAGAAGAGGGCUGUGAAAAUAUUUACAGAUCCCUCACAUCCUGGACAUAAACUGUUUCAACUCCUACCCUCAAAACGACGCUAUAGAGCACUGCACACCAGAACAACUAGACACAAGAACAGUUUUUUCCGGAAGGCCAUCACUCUGCUAAACAAAUAAUUCCCUCAACACUGUCAGACUAUUUACUGAAUCUGCACUACUAUUAAUCUUUUCAUCGUUCCCAUCACAAUCUCUUUCCACUUAUGACUGCAUGACUGUAACUUUUUGUUGCUAUCAUUAAGAGUUAAAUUGCAACCUAUGACCAUCAUUUGUGUUGUAAAUGUUGUACCUUUGAUGAAGGUAUUUUUUUUCUUUUAUGUACACUGAGAGCUUAUGCACCAAGACAAAUUCCUUGUGUGUCCAAUCACACUUGGCCAAUAAAAAAUUCUAUUCUAUUCUAACUGAGGGAAGAUUCGUAAGACUGGGUGCUGCCACCAUCUGCUGGAAAAAUUUGGAAAGAGUUGGCAGAAAAUGGAAAACGAAAAGAAAGGAAACCCAGGCUUGCAUG